CUUGCCGCAUUGAUGGUGAUGACGGUGACGAUGGUGAUGAUGAAGAUAUUGACGAUUCGUUAGAAUGUUCCCGAAAGCGAGGGUGACGAAAUGUCGGUUUAAUGAAUUACCACUCAUAAUGUUUGUGACCAUGGUAGCUAUUACAUAAUUCAAAGAUGCUCUGAAUGCAAUUGUCCAGUAAUAUACACCACUAUCAUUAUAGGUCAUCUUUAUUUAACAAUUCCAGAUCAAAUACCAUCUCACAUUAAAGAAUUCCCACAAAAUUUUCAUUGGUGUCGACCUCCAUUUCAAUAGAUUACUUUGAGGUAUAUCUCCGCAAAUAUUCAUUUCAUAUAUUUUUUAAACUAAUCAUUGCAACUGUACACCAUAAAUGAAUCGUUAUUCAUGGUCGGAAUUGUACGUCGAACAAUCGAAAAAGGAUUGGAGUGAAUUUGUGUUGAAAUUUUUUAUUGACACGACAACAUUGGUAUUCCCCGAUCAUCGAGUAUAUCUUCAAUGCGUGAGCAUGAUGUCACUGUGAAGUUGAUACCAAAGUAAAAAGGAGUGAUACUGGAGUUGCUGAGAGAACAACAUCAAGCAAGGUAAAAGAUGAAUCAACCUCGUCACAACCAGAAUGCAAUCCCUCCCCCAGGUGGCAUUGGAAACGAACCUUCAAGGCAUGCUCAAGUUCAAAUAAUAGUCAUAAAGACUGAUGGGAAUAGUAUGACAAUGGACGUAGUAUUGAAUUGGAGUGAAGACCUGUUGGUUGACGAAAUUGGUGCCCGUAUCAACAUGGCUAGAAGCCAAUUUUACGUCACAUUCGGCAGCAAGCAGUUGGGCGGUUCUACGCAAAUAUUCGACACUGGCAUAAGGCAAGGAAGCGAAGUAAGGGUUAAUGGCCGACUUCGUGGGGGCGACAAAGCAAAAUAUUUUCCUUCAAUCUAAUGAAUGUGACCUCCUGCAUGUGAUUGCUUAGUAUAUGUUCCACGCAAAAAGAAACGGUUCGAUGUUCGAUGUGUAUGAUGUAUUCAAUUUCUAUAUAAAGAUCCAUACUUUCCUGCUAAAAGUAGAAUUUCACACUCUUAACACACAUACAAAUAUUGUAGCAGUCCAUUCAUAUACUGUAUGUUGCCUUUUAUCACAUUGCAGUAAUUGAUUUCUUUCAAUUCUUGCACGCUGUCAAAAACUUAAUAAUAAAAAUAAAUCCCCGCCAAGUUGAAGCCAGUGUAACAAUUUCGAAAUUCCUUUUGAAGCACAUAGAGAUAACUUAAUAUGCGCCUAAUGCAGUACAAGUUCUAAAGUACUAUCAUUUAUGUCUUACACAUAUGUGUCCUAAUUUUGUAUUGAAAUCACUACUCAUUUUAUUGAAUAUUUGCAUAUUACAUUUUUAACUGAAAAUAGUCUAUUUAAAUGAAUUGAUGAGUAAAUCUAUGAUUAAGUGAAUUGAUAAAUCGUAUUCAUAAAAAAGUAUCUACCUUAUUAAUACAUUGUGGAUUAAAAUAUAUUUAUACAUCGAUAUACCGAACCUGUAUAUUUUGUAGACCGGUCA